ACAUGCAAGCUGAACGGUAAAUGUUGUAGCAAUACAAUAUGAGAGUAGCGUAAGGGUGCGUAACACGUAUGCAAUCUACCCGCAACAGGAGGAUAGCUCCCCGAAAGGGGAAUUAAUACUCCAUAAUAUCACGAGAGGGCAUCUGAUUGUGAUUAAACUCCAAGGGGUUGCGGAUGAGCAUGCGUAUGAUUAGUUAGUUGGCGGGGUAACGGCCCACCAAGACGAUGAUCAUUAGGGGAACUGAGAGGUUGAUCCCCCACACUGGCACUGAGAUACGGGCCAGACUCCUACGGGAGGCAGCAGUAGGGAAUAUUGGUCAAUGGGUGAAAGCCUGAACCAGCCAUGCCGCGUGCAGGAAGACGGCCUUCUGGGUUGUAAACUGCUUUUAUCUGGGGAUAAAAUAUCCUUGCGAGGAGAAUUGAAGGUACCAGAGGAAUAAGCCACGGCUAACUACGUGCCAGCAGCCGCGGUAAUACGUAGGUGGCAAGCGUUGUCCGGAUUUAUUGGGUUUAAAGGGUGCGUAGGCGGCUUUGUAAGUCAGUGGUGAAAUACGGCAGCUCAACUGUCGAGGUGCCAUUGAUACUGCAGGGCUAGAGUACUGAUGAGGUAGGCGGAAUGGACGGUGUAGCGGUGAAAUGCAUAGAUACCAUCAGGAACACCGAUAGCGAAGGCAUUGUACUGGCCAACAACUGACGCUGAGGCACGAAAGUGUGGGGAUCGAACAGGAUUAGAUACCCCUGGUAGUCCACACUGUAAACGAUGAUUACUCGCUGUUAUGGUGUAUACUGUAGCGGCCAAGCGAAAGCGUUAAGUAAUC
rnacentral:rRNA from 1 species